GACACAGUGGCGCAGUGGUUAGCAUUGCUGCCUCUCAGCAGAAGGGUCAUGGGUUUGACUCCGGCCUGGGGCC